rnacentral:lncRNA from 1 species
CUCGCAAUUGCUAUCCUACCGACUGCUCCAAUUCAAACUUCAUCGAAUCAAACAAAUUUUGUCUAAUUUUUCAUGAUUUCGAUGAUUUUUUAAUGCAUGUCGCUAUCGGCAGCUUUUGCCCCGUUAAGUAAACCGGAUGACUUUAAUGAGCUGCACAAAAUGAAUAAAUUUUCGGCUCCUAGGCCAGAAUAGACCUUGUUUGCGCUACCUGUCGCGGCAUUUUCAGGGCGCAUUUUCCUCUUCGCUGAAUUAAUGGCAGAAGCUCUCGUAGGAAGGAUAUUUAAUAUUCACCUAAACGCGUAUAUAAACUUUCGAAACUUCCCAAUCAGCCUCAGUAGCACGUUGUCAGUAACAAGCAUUGAACAGGCAGUUACAAGAACAGCGAAAAUUUUCAUAGAUGAUGAAAUUCACUCUACUUCUUUGCCUGCUGAGCUGCUGCGUGUCCAUCUUCAGUGCCCGCUUACCGAGAGAUUUCAGCGUCUGCAGGACUUCCCAUAACAGUCACCGCUACUCACGAUCGAUCAUCGCAGAGCGGAUUCGGACGCAGAUUUGCAAUCCGGACAUUGAAUAUUCUUGGUGUGGGAUUGUGGGCAAAGUCAUGCCCAUUAUGUGUGUGUUUUUCAACGAACCAACCACUUCACUGGUGAAAAGAACUUAUACAGACAACGUGCUGAGAGAGCUAGAAGACUUAUCAGAACCCUGGAACAGUUAUGAGGAUCUACUGGAUCAACGAGAGGUGAAUCUGGACGGGUUGAGCAUGAAGCCUAAAAGAUACCAGAGUGAGCCCAACACCAUCGGACAUGAAUGCUGCACAUACAACUGCUCGGCCAAUUACAUUUUGGAUCAUUACUGCGGCAAUUAGAGUUAACAGUGAACAUUUGCUUCCUUUAAAGCUUAAAUUUUAGUUUGACAAAUAAAGCACUUUUUCUGCA